UGGCGGGGGUCGGGCAAGAGCGUGGGCUGACUGAGUAGGCGAGCGGGCGCCGGGAGUGUGGGCCUGCAGCCUUCUCCUGCCGUGCGCCCCCUGCCAGGGUCGCCUCGCGCGAGGCCCUUCGCGGCUCCCGUUCCCAGCCGGGCCCAGCGCGUCCCCGCCUGCCGCGCUCGAGGGACCCGAAAACCUUGAAUGUUUUUGCCCCGGGUUGGCAACUUGGGCCUGACUGUCUUCGAAAAGGGAGCCUCAAGCAGUUGUCAGGUGGCCCCUCUCGACAGCAUACGCCCCCUCCGCUGGCCCUCUGCCCCCUUCAGGCCACCUUCCUCCCGUAUCUGCGGACGCUGCAUCUCCCAGGGCCUUGAAUUCCAAGAACUUGGUCCUGAUGUUUGACCAUAGAGAUGUGAGCUCAGCCUUCCACCCAAAGACUGGGUGAGGGCUCUCUCCCAGAUGGGCAGCAUCGUGGAAAUAUAUGAAGACAUUCCACCCCGCUCUGGAGUCAAGAUGAUCAGAAUAGCCCCCAUUUACUUUGAGGAAGGCAACACUGAACAUGCCUUCAUCCUUUAUAACAAGCACAUCACAGCAUGCCCCAAAUAGGGGUCACUUUUCUUCAGACUGGACCUGAAAAUGAAGAAGUUAUGUGGAGCAGAGCCACAGCCAAUCUGCAGAAGUGAGAAAAAAAAAUCCUUCGUUUUGUGAAUCACUGAGGUCUUGGAGUUAUUACUACACCAGAACUAGUAAAGAUGACAAUAAAGUUAGAAUUUCUCAAAGAUGUUAAUGUAUAUUUGGAGAAUAAAUGACUUUUGUUGUCAAGUAAUUUGGUAAUACACUGAGUUGAGCAAAACAGAUUUUUCCUGCAGUUCUCAUAGCUCUUUGAUGAGCCCAUGAACAACUAUUUUUUUCUAGAAGGGCAUAUAGUAUAUACUGCUCUUAGAAUCUUUCUACCAGGAACCAUCUUGGGGGUUAGUGUUUCUUGGGAUACACUCUGGGGAAUGCUAAGUUAAGGCAUUAAAUCAGGAUUGCAAUCAGCUGCCUAUAAGAGAAAACUACUACAAACACAUUUUAUUUACUUCAUGUAAAAAGACAUUUGAGGUUAAAUUGUCUGAGGCUGGUAUGGAGAUUAAAUGUUAUCAAAAGGAAACUAGGUUCCUAUUAAUAGACAAAUAUGGUGCUUGGAAAAUAGCAAUGACCUGUUAUCAAUGAUUAAUUUUAUUACAGCAUGGAAUACAGCAUAUUCUGCUAUUCAAAGUUUUAAAAACAAUAAUUUCCAAAAUGUGCGGCAAUGUAGGAGUGUUUUCUUCAGACUGGACCUGAAAAUGAAGAAGUUAUAUGGAGGCAAAAUGGACAAGGAGGCACAGAUCAGGUUGGCUGAUAUUAUACAAGUUGUACUUCACAGUGAUUACCUAGAAGCAGGUGAUAACUCUUUUAAAGGGUCUGAAUUUCAGUUCUUUGUGCAUGGGCAUGUAUUCAUUACUUAUACUUGUCUUUAUACACUGGGGUUAGAUCAAGUCUUUUUCUUUUUUCUUUUUAAUCACUGUGAUCCCUUAGAGCUGGGUUCCUAUACUAUGGAAAAACCAAUUGAGAAAACAUGAGAUUCUGAAAAUACUAAAUAAAUUAUUUGCUAUUAAAUGAAUCUUUCAAUAAAUUACUACAUUUAUUUGCUAAUAUUUAGGCU